GUGGGGAAUAUUGGACAAUGGGGGAAACCCUUAUCCAGCGACGCCGCGUGAGGGAAGAAGGUUUUCGGAUUGUAAACCUCUGUCAGCGGGGACGAUAAUGACGGUACCCGCGGAGGAAGCCACGGCUAACUACGUGCCAGCAGCCGCGGUAAUACGUAGGUGGCAAGCGUUGUCCGGAAUUACUGGGUGUAAAGGGAGCGUAGGCGGGGUUUCAAGUCAGAAGUGAAAAUUAUGGGCUCAACUCAUAACCUGCUUUUGAAACUGAAGCUCUUGAGUGAAGUAGAGGCAAGCGGAAUUCCUAGUGUAGCGGUGAAAUGCGUAGAUAUUAGGAGGAACACCAGUGGCGAAGGCGGCUUGCUGGGCUUUUACUGACGCUGAGGCUCGAAAGCGUGGGGAGCAAACAGG
rnacentral:rRNA from 1 species